ACCCCGCCCUGGAGCAGCUCUGGAACAAGGGCAUCCCCCUCCUGGUGGAGCACCUGGAAGGUGAGGAAGGGAGGGGCUUCUCCUGGGGUCACCUUCUCCAAAAUCAGAGAAUCAGAGAGUCAGAGAAUCAUGGAAUCAGAGAAUCAGAGAAUCACAGAAUCACAGAAUCACAGAGUCACAGAAUCACAGAGUCACAGAAUCACAGAAUCAGAGAAUCACAGAAUCAGAAUCACAGAAUCACAGAAUCAUAGAAUCACAGAACACAGAAUUACAGAAUCACAGAAUCACAGUCAGAGAAUCACAGAAUCACAGACUCACAGAAUCACAGAAUCAGUCACAGUCACAGAAUCACAGAAUCACAGUCAGAGAAUCAGAGAAUCAGAGAAUCACAGUCAUAGAAUCACAGAAUCAGUCAAUCACAGAAUCAGAGAAUCACAGUCAUAGAAUCACAGUCAGAGAAUCACAGAAUCAGGGAAUCAGAGAAUCACAGAAUCACAGAAUCAGAGAAUCACAGAAUCAGAGAAUCACAGAAUCACAAAAUCACAGAAUCAGAGAAUCACAGACUCACAGAAUCAUAGAAUCACAGUCACAGAAUCAGAGAAUCAGAGAAUCACAGUCAUAGAAUCACAGACUCACAGACACAGUCAUAGAAUCACAGAAUCACAGUCAUGGAAUCAGAGAAUCACAGAAUUACAGACUCACAGAAUUACAGAGUCACAGAAUUACAGAGUCACAGACUCACGGAAUCACAGAAUCAGAGAAUCACAGUCAUAGAAUCACAGAAUUAGAGAAUCAGUAUCACAGAAUCAGAGAAUCACAGAAUCAGAGAAUCACAGAAUCAGUCACAGAAUCAUAGAAUCACAGAAUCACAGUCAUAGAAUCAGAGAAUCAGAGAAUCAGUCACAGAGUCACAGAAUCAUAGAAUCACAGUAAUAGAAUCACAGAAUCAGA
rnacentral:lncRNA from 1 species